AUGCUCACUUCAGCAGCACAUACACUAAAAUUGGAAUGUCAAAGAGAUUAGCAUGACCCCUGCACAAGGAUGACAUGAAAAUUCAUGUAGCUUUCUAUACUAAA
ensembl:snRNA U6 U6 spliceosomal RNA